UCUUCUCAGGGAGUUCCUGACAGCUAGAGACUAGGAGUAGAAUUAUGAGCUCACCUUUGGCCUCCCUUGGCAAGACCCGGCGAGUGCCUCUGCAUUCGGAGCCUGUGAAUCCGGGGAGGCGAGGGAUAAAAAUUUACGGAAAUGAAGAUGAGGUGGACGUGCUGAAUGACGCGCACGGCUCAGAAGAAAGGAUCUCUGUUCCUUCCUGCUAUGGUGGCAUAGGUGCCCCUGUGAGUAGGCAAGUCCCUGUGUACCACGACUCGGAGUUGAUGGCCGCCAUGGCGAGGAAAGUGCGGGAUCUGGAGCGGCAGGUGAAGGCCCAGGCGGAUGAGAUGCUUUCCAAGGAUCGGAAGAUACGGGCCUUGGAGGAGCUGAUGGAGACCCUCCAAGAGCACCAGGGCACGGUGACCCUGCAGCGGCAGGAGGAGCUGGAGACCAUGUGCGCGCAACUGCAGCGGCAGGUCGGGGAGAUGGAGCGGUUCCUCGGUGACUACGGCCUGCAGUGGGUGGGCGAGCCCAUGGAUGAGGAGGACUCGGAGGAUGGCGAGAGGGACUGGAUGACAGCCAAGAAGUUCUGGAAGCCAGGGGACUCACUGGUACCCCCCCAGGUGGACUUUGACAGGCUGCUGGCUAGCCUGAAGGAUCUCAGUGAGCUGGCGGUAGACAGUGACACCCAGCUGACACCAGUGCCCAGCAGAGUGCCACACUGUGUCCUUGAGCCCAUCCCACUGAAGCUCUACCGGAAUGGCAUCGUGAUGUUCGAUGGGCCCUUCCGGCCCUUCCAUGAUCCCUCCACACAGCGCUGCCUCCGAGACGUACUGGAUGGCUUCUUCCCAUCAGAGCUCCAGCGGCUGUACCCUGACGGGGUCCCCUUUAAGGUGAGUGACCUGCGCAAUCAAGUCUACCCAGAGAAUGGGCUGGACGCGUUCCCAGGCGAGGGCCGAGUGGUAGGCUGGCAGAGGAUUCGAAAGCCCUUGGACAGGAUGGAGCACCCAGGCUCCACGAUGACCGCCGAGAAGUUUCUGAACAGGCUGCCCAAAUUUGUGAUCCGACAAGGCGAGGUGAUUGACAUUCGGGGUCCCAUCCGGGACACCCUGAAGGUGAGGCCAGCCCUGGCUCCCCCAGCCUUAUUGGCGGGCUUUACCAUCAACCCUGGCCCAGCCUACCAGAGCAGCGGCUUAUCUGGAGGCUCAGGCUUGAGGGCCCCUGAGGAUGGCCUGGAUGGAGAGAUGAGUUCCUCAGAGCUGUUCCCCUGUCUCCUGGAAACGAUGGAGCUGGUGAGCUCUCAGGACUGUCUCCUGGUCUCUCUGAGCUGGGACCAGAGAGCAGCUGGCCAACGCAGGAGUGUGGCUGUAAGAGUGAGAAAGUCAGGGGAGUCUAGGUUGGGGGUGAGCCCAAGUUCAGGCCACCCUCUACCGAAAUACACCUUCCUGGCCUUCACAGGACUCAUCCUCCUCUCUCCUCACUCACUAUCCUGCUACUCCUCUCUCAUCUCCACCUGUGAAAGAUACCCAACCCGUUUCCCAGAACUCUGCCUUCACCACACAUGGCCAAGUCCUGUCAGAUCUGUCUGUCCCCAGAACUGCUCCCGAAUCCAUCUCUUCUCUCCAUUCCCGCUGCCCACCAUCCUAGCCUAGGCUCCAGAGUGUCUUCCAGACAACUGCAGUGGCCCCUCACUGGCCUCCCACCUCCACUCCCGCCCUGCCAGCCAUCCUCCCCCAGCAGCCUCUGUGCUUUUUUAAAAAUGCAAAUUGGAUCUUGGCUCUUCCCUGUUGAAACCCUCCAGUGGUUCUUAGGUAAGGCCUGUCAUUCCUUUCUGGUCCUCUUCCCACCUCUAACCUUUUCUUUCUUCCAGUCCAACCUGAUUCCCAGCUUCAGCCACAUGAAUGCUGAUACUUUCUCAAAUAUAUCACCUCUUCUCAGAAGUCUUCCCUGACCUAUGCUGUCUGGAAUAUCCUUGCCCCCCCAUUCCAUUUCUAAGGACUCCUCUUCAUCCUUCAGUCACAGCUCAGGUGUCAUUUCCCCAGGGAAGCCUUCCCUGACCCAUGCUAGGUUAGGCACCCAGCCUGGUCACUGUGUGGGGUUCUGUCUCCCCAACUAGAAUGAGGAAAGGGAAUGAUGGGGCCACCUCCCAAAGCUUCCGUUCUGUUUCCUCUCCUUGGGCCCCCGUUUACACAGAAUACCCCCUCCCCCUUUGGCUCACUGGUCUCAUCCAUCCCUGGUCAGGAGAAGUCCCCUGUAGGGGUUGGGGGGAGGGUGUGACUGGCAGGGCCCAGGGCUCUGUCCACUCCAUCGAUGCCUUCCAGAACUGCUGCCCAUUGCGUGUCCGGAUCCAGGAGAUCGUGGUGGAGACGCCUGCCUUGACUGCUGAGCGUGAGAGGAGCCAGGAGUCUCCGGAGUUGC